GGCCUAACACAUGCAAGUCGAGCGCUUCACUUCGGUGAGGAGCGGCGGACGGGUUAGUAACGCGUGGGAAUAUACCCUUCACUAUGGAAUAGCCUCGGGAAACUGAGAGUAAUACCAUAUACGCCCUUCGGGGGAAAGAUUUAUCGGUGAAGGAUUAGCCCGCGUAAGAUUAGAUAGUUGGUGGGGUAAUGGCCUACCAAGUCUACGAUCUUUAGCUGGUUUGAGAGGAUGAUCAGCAACACUGGGACUGAGACACGGCCCAGACUCCUACGGGAGGCAGCAGUGGGGAAUCUUAGACAAUGGGCGCAAGCCUGAUCUAGCCAUGCCGCGUGAGUGACGAAGGUCUUAGGAUCGUAAAGCUCUUUCGCCAGAGAUGAUAAUGACAGUAUCUGGUAAAGAAAUCCCGGCUAACUCCGUGCCAGCAGCCGCGGUAAUACGGAGGGGGUUAGCGUUGUUCGGAAUUACUGGGCGUAAAGCGCACGUAGGCGGAUCGGAAAGUAGGGGGUGAAAUCCCAGGGCUCAACCCUGGAACUGCCUCCUAAACUAUCAGUCUAGAGUUCGAGAGAGGUGAGUGGAAUUCCAAG
rnacentral:rRNA from 1 species